GAUGAAGAACGUAGCGAAAUGCGAUAAGUAGUGUGAAUUGCAGACUUUAGUCAAUCAUCGAAUCUUUGAACGCACAUUGCGCCCCUUGGUAUUCCAUUGGGCAUGCCUGUUCGAGCGUCAUUUGUACCUUCAAGCUUUGCUUGGUGUUGGGUGUUUGUCUCGCCUUUGCGUGUAGACUCGCCUUAAAAUAAUUGGCAGCCGGCGUAUUGAUUUCGGAGCGCAGUACAUCUCGCGCUUUGCACUCAUAACGACAGCGUCCAAAAGUACAUUUUACACUCUUGACCUCGGAUCAGGUAGGGAUACCCGCUGAACUUAAGCAUAUCAAUAAGCGGAGGA
rnacentral:misc_RNA from 1 species